rnacentral:rRNA from 1 species
GAUGAACGCUGGCGGCGUGCCUAAUACAUGCAAGUCGAGCGAACAGACGAGGAGCUUGCUCCUCUGACGUUAGCGGCGGACGGGUGAGAAACACGUGGAUAACCUACCUAUAAGACUGGGAUAACUUCGGGAAACCGGAGCUAAUACCGGAUAAUAUAUUGAACCGCAUGGUUCAAUAGUGAAAGACGGUUUUGCUGUCACUUGUAGAUGGAUCCGCGCCGCAUUAGCUAGUUGGUAAGGUAACGGCUUACCAAGGCAACGAUGCGUAGCCGACCUGAGAGGGUGAUCGGCCACACUGGAACUGAGACACGGUCCAGACUCCUACGGGAGGCAGCAGUAGGGAAUCUUCCGCAAUGGGCGAAAGCCUGACGGAGCAACGCCGCGUGAGUGAUGAAGGUCUUCGGAUCGUAAAACUCUGUUAUUAGGGAAGAACAAAUGUGUAAGUAACUAUGCACGUCUUGACGGUACCUAAUCAGAAAGCCACGGCUAACUACGUG